UGACAAAGGGCAUGACAGCCACGGCGACCGAGAGGUCGGCCAGAGCCAGGGAGACGAUGAGAUAGUUGGAGGGCUGCCUGAGUUUCUUUACGAAGCACACGGAGAUCACCACCAGGCAAUUGCCCGCGAUGGCAAUAGUGGAAGAAGUGAAAUCCUUUUAUGGAGUGAAAUAACCAGAAACAAUAUGAAGCUACUGCCCAAGCAUCUGGGACACAUGGAGAAAACUGAGCACAAUGAAGCCACAUCAGUUGAUACAUUUCCUGGAAUGAUUGUAAUUCAGAGGUUUAGUGAUUGACUGCAGCUGCAAGUGACUGACAGAGUAUGAGGGCCCUGAGAGCAAGCAGAGCUCCUUGGUGCAUGGGACUGGCUGAAAAGGCAGAGUUGGAAUUAAUGAGCAAGUGUAAACAGUGCUAUUUAUUCCAGUGUAUCAAUGAGUCUGGCACUUGGAAAAAGGAUAGCUGUCUCAGCAUUAACCAAGAAAAGACCUCAGAGGUGCUAAUUGAGAGAAGGAAUUCUUCAAGGGCUGGAGAUCACCAUCCCUUUCUCAAUGCCUGAUACAGUCAUCUCCUCCAAAGAGUUAAGUAACUGCAGAUUUUUAGUCAUGUUGGACUCAUAACUGACUCUUGACACCCAAAUACCAAAAGGGCUUUCUUCCAUCCAUCUUAAGUCUAGAUAUAGCCAUGUAGUAGAAGAAAAUAAAGAC